AAAAUUCUUCGGGGCAGGGUGUAAUUCCCUACCGGCGGUGACAGUCCGCGACCCAUGCAAAUGGCUGAACUGGUGUAAUUCCAGUACCGACAGUAUAGUCUGGAUGUGAGAAGAAGGUA
rfam:Lactonifactor longoviformis DSM 17459 genome assembly, contig: EJ64DRAFT_scaffold00003.3